rnacentral:rRNA from 1 species
GUCUAUAGCCAAGCCAUCCUGAACAAGCCCAAUCCCAUCUGAUCUCAGAAGUUAAGCAGGUUCGGACCUGGUUAGUACUUGGAUGGGAGAUCGCCUAGGAAGACCAAGUGCUAUUAGAGU